rnacentral:rRNA from 1 species
GUGGGGAAUAUUGGACAAUGGGCGCAAGCCUGAUCCAGCCAUGCCGCGUGAGUGAUGAAGGCCCUAGGGUUGUAAAGCUCUUUCACCGGUGAAGAUAAUGACGGUAACCGGAGAAGAAGCCCCGGCUAACUUCGUGCCAGCAGCCGCGGUAAUACGAAGGGGGCUAGCGUUGUUCGGAAUUACUGGGCGUAAAGCGCACGUAGGCGGACAUUUAAGUCAGGGGUGAAAUCCCGGGGCUCAACCCCGGAACUGCCUUUGAUACUGGGUGUCUGGAGUAUGGAAGAGGUAAGUGGAAUUCCGAGCGUAGAGGUGAAAUUCGUAGAUAUUCGGAGGAACACCAGUGGCGAAGGCGGCUUACUGGUCCAUUACUGACGCUGAGGUGCGAAAGCGUGGGGAGCAAACAUGAUUAGAAACCCGUGUAGUCC